ensembl:snRNA
AAAAAGGACUUCUGCCAUGAGUGGCAAGCAUAGGGCAAAUUUCUUGCUCUAUGUGUGGAAUCCACAUCAAGAAGUUUUGGAAGCAUGAUGUUUUGGCAGUAAUGAAGCUGUUGAUUAUUGGUCCUGGCAACCCC